AGUGGCGAACGGGUGCGUAACACGUGAGUAACCUGCCCGGAAGACGGGAAUAACCCGGGGAAACCCGGACUAAUACCUGAUGUGAUCGAAGGAUUAAGCGGCGGCUUCGGCUGCCGCUUCCGGAUGGGCUCGCGGCCUAUCAGCUAGUUGGCGGGGUAAUGGCCCACCAAGGCGACGACGGGUAACUGGUCUGAGAGGAUGAUCAGUCACACUGGAACUGAGACACGGUCCAGACACCUACGGGUGGCAGCAGUCGAGAAUCAUUCACAAUGGGCGAAAGCCUGAUGGUGUGACGCCGCGUGGAGGAUGACGGUCUUCGGAUUGUAAACUCCUGUCAUCAGGGAGUAAAGCUCUGACGUUAAUAGCGUCAUGAGCCUGAUAGUACCUGAAGAGGAAGGGGCGGCUAACUCUGUGCCAGCAGCCGCGGUAAUACAGAGGCCCCAAGCGUUGUUCGGAUUUACUGGGCGUAAAGAGUACGUAGGCGGCGAGGUAAGUCAGAUGUGAAAGCCCGGGGCUCAACCCCGGAAUUGCAUCCGAUACUGCCUUGCUCGAGGAUUGGAGAGGAGACUGGAAUUCAUGGUGUAGCAGUGAAAUGCGUAGAUAUCAUGAGGAAGACCAAUGGCGAAGGCAGGUCUCUGGACAAUUCCUGACGCUGAGGUACGAAGGCUGGGGGAGCAAAAAGGAUUAGAUACCCUUGUAGUCCCAGCAGUAAACGGUGCGCGCU
rnacentral:rRNA from 1 species